rnacentral:rRNA from 1 species
UUUGACCUCAAAUCAGGUAGGACUACCCGCUGAACUUAAGCAUAUCAA